AACAGGAUGACUACAGACAGCUCUGCAGUAUAUUUAGGCAGGUUAGCCUAGCUAAACAGGAUGACUACAGACAGCUCUGCAGUAUAUUUAGGCAGGUUAGCCUAGCUAAACAGGAUGACUACAGACAGCUCUGCAGUAUAUUUAGGCAGGUUAGCCUAGCUAAACAGGAUGACUACAGACAGCUCUGCAGUAUAUUUAGGCAGGUUAGCCUAGCUAAACAGGAUGACUACAGACAGCUCUGCAGUAUAUUUAGGCAGGUUAGCCUAGCUAAACAGGAUGACUACAGACAGCUCUGCAGUAUAUUUAGGCAGGUUAGCCUAGCUAAACAGGAUGACUACAGACAGCUCUGCAGUAUAUUUAGGCAGGUUAGCCUAGCUAAACAGGAUGACUACAGACAGCUCUGCAGUAUAUUUAGGCAGGUUAGCCUAGCUAAACAGGAUGACUACAGACAGCUCUGCAGUAUAUUUAGGCAGGUUAGCCUAGCUAAACAGGAUGACUACAGACAGCUCUGCAGUAUAUUUAGGCAGGUUAGCCUAGCUAAACAGGAUGACUACAGACAGCUCUGCAGUAUAUUUAGGCAGGUUAGCCUAGCUAAACAGGAUGACUACAGACAGUACAGUAUGGGGAGAACAUAACGUUAGAUGACCUGGCUGACUGACUGUUACUGUCUGAGAUGAGAUGAUGACUUUAAGAAAAACAAAAAUGAUAAAGUCAUCAUAUAAAAACUAAUAUACACAACUGAAAUAUUAGAUUAUUUCAUAGUAAUGUACUAUUUUUCUAUUGGGACCUGACAGAGACAAUGGAAUUUGUUCUAUGUUUUGGCAAUAGAAUAUUCAACAUUUUUGGCUUUGGAUUUGCCAUUACACAAACAUAAUAAAUGUAUUAUAAUUAAUAAUAAUAAUUGAACUUGAAAACCGUGGUAAUAUUUUUUUAAUUAUCAAACUAAAAAGCAGAAAAUGCUCAGCAUUAAUACUACAGUAUAUCCAUCUCAACACUAAUACUACAGUAUAUCCAUCUCAACACUAAUACUACAGUAUAUCCACCUCAACACUAAUACUACAGUAUAUCCACCUCAACACUAAUACUACAGUAUAUCCACCUCAGCAUUAAUACUACAGUAUAUCCAUCUCAACACUAAUACUACAGUAUAUCCACCUCAACACUAAUACUACAGUAUAUCCAUCUCAACACUAAUACUACAGUAUAUCCAUCUCAA